rnacentral:rRNA from 1 species
AUCAACUUUCGAUGGUAGGAUAGAGGCCUACCAUGGUGGUAACGGGUAACGGGGUGUUAGGGCACGACACCGGAGAGGGAGCCUGAGAAACGGCUACCACAUCCAAGGAAGGCAGCAGGCGCGCAAAUUACCCAAUCCCGACACGGGGAGGUAGUGACAAUAAAUAACAACACAGGGCUCUUUUGGGUCUUGUUAUUGGAAUGAGUACAAUUUAAAUCUCUUAACGAGGAACAAUUGGAGGGCAAGUCUGGUGCCAGCAGCCGCGGUAAUUCCAGCUCCAAUAGCGUAUAUUAAAGUUGUUGCAGUUAAAAAGCUCGUAGUUGAAUUUUGGGCCUGGCUGGGUGGUCUUGCCGCAAGGUAAGCACUGCUCUGGUCGGACCUUUCCUUCUGGGGAACCUGCGUGCUCUUAAUUGGGUGCGCAGGGGAUCCAGGACUUUUACUUUGAAAAAAUUAGAGUGUUUAAAGCAGGCUUACGCUUGAAUACAUUAGCAUGGAAUAAUAGAAUAGGACAUCCGAUUCUAUUUUGUUGGUUUCUAGGAUCGAUGUAAUGAUUAAUAGGGAUAGUUGGGGGCAUUAGUAUUCAAUUGUCAGAGGUGAAAUUCUUGGAUUUAUUGAAGACUAACUACUGCGAAAGCAUUUGCCAAGGAUGUUUUCAUUAAUCAAGAACGAAAGUUAGGGGAUCGAAGACGAUCAGAUACCGUCGUAGUCUUAACCAUAAACUAUGCCGACUAGGGAUCGGAUGAUGUUAAUUUUUUAAUGACUCAUUCGGCGCCUUACGGGAAACCAAAGUGUUUGGGUUC